UGGGGAAUAUUGGACAAUGGGCGCAAGCCUGAUCCAGCCAUGCCGCGUGAGUGAUGAAGGCCCUAGGGUUGUAAAGCUCUUUCACCGGUGAAGAUAAUGACGGUAACCGGAGAAGAAGCCCCGGCUAACUUCGUGCCAGCAGCCGCGGUAAUACGAAGGGGGCUAGCGUUGUUCGGAUUUACUGGGCGUAAAGCGCACGUAGGCGGACUUUUAAGUCAGGGGUGAAAUCCCGGGGCUCAACCGCGGUACUGCCUUUGAUACUGGAAGUCUUGAGUAUGGUAGGGGUGAGUGGAAUUCCGCGUGUAGAGGUGAAAUUCGUAAGUAUUCGGGGGGAAACCAGUGGCGGAGGCGGCUCACUGGAGCAGUACUGGCGCUGAGGGGCGGAAACGUGGGGAGCAAACAGG
rnacentral:rRNA from 1 species